rnacentral:tRNA from 1 species
GGGAAGGUGGCUCAGUGGUAGAGUGCUUGCCUAGCAUGCAGGAAGCCCCGGGCCCGGUUUCUCA